GCCAUAUGGCAGCGCUUUCUGCCAAGUCUGACAUGUGCUGUCUCCUCUGGCUGACUCUUAUCUCAACCUGACAGAGGCUGCACAAAACCUUUCUGUUACCUAUUCAGGAGGCACCGCAUGCCAGUGGGCCAAGUCAUUCUACUUUCUUAACCCUGUAAUCCCUUAGCAUAUGGAAAGAAACAGGAGUAUUUUCCUGAACUGGCCCUGGGCACAACUGUCAACCAUUCAAGAGAAACUUACAGCCAAAAAGCAGCAUAGAAUUCACCUGGACUAAUCCUCACAUUUUGCAAACUGAAGAACCAUGUUGUAAACAGUGGAUGAGGCUCUGGCAAGGCCACCAGCUAGAGAGCAGGAAACGCAGGCUUCAAUUUUUCAGCUAAUGGCAAUUCCAUUUUCCAGAUGCUGAGGCCAAAGGGGGGUCAUUGUUGGCUCUUCCUGCUCAUGUAUCUUCAAUGCAAUCCAUCAGCAAAUCUAGUAAGUGCUAACUGUAAAGGAGAUGGAGCUGCAACCACUCCUCCAUAUGCCUGAUGCUUGAGAGACUGCCAUCUCUCUCCUGGAUUCCCAAAAACGCGUCCUCACUGGGGAACCUGCUUCCAGCCCAGCUCUCCAAGACUAUUCCAACUAUCAGAAUGAUCCUCAAAUAAAUCAGAUUAUGUCAGUCCUAUCCUCAAAA